UAAAAAAUGAACACUGCUUCUGCUUGACUUGGCAUAUAUAUGUGUGUGUGUGUGUAUGUAUGUGUACUCUGUACUCUGCAGUCUGUACCGUAGCCUGCUUGACCAAAGAUGCAUCAGUGUAUACACAACUUCCAUGAGUAGAAACUAGAUUUCCAGCUAGACCAAGACCUGGGAAGAAGUGGGUUCACCAAGAAUCUAGUAAAUCUAGACUGUCCAACAUUCCUUUGAACCAACAGCAACUAUUGGCACAGUUGCUAAUGAGUACCCGUCCAAACCUUUUACCCUUUUCAUAUUCGACGUGAUUAGUCCGCCACAUCUGCGCUUUCCAGUCAUU
rnacentral:lncRNA from 1 species